rnacentral:rRNA from 1 species
GACGAACGCUGGCGGCGUGCUUAACACAUGCAAGUCGAACGGAAAGGCCCUGCUUUUGUGGGGUGCUCGAGUGGCGAACGGGUGAGUAACACGUGAGUAACCUGCCCUUGACUUUGGGAUAACUUCAGGAAACUGGGGCUAAUACCGGAUAGGAGCUCCUGCUGCAUGGUGGGGGUUGGAAAGUUUCGGCGGUUGGGGAUGGACUCGCGGCUUAUCAGCUUGUUGGUGGGGUAGUGGCUUACCAAGGGUUUGACGGGUAGCCGGCCUGAGAGGGUGACCGGCCACAUUGGGACUGAGAUACGGCCCAGAAUACAACGGGAGGCAGCAGUGGGGAAUAUUGCACAAUGGGCGGAAGCAUGAUGCAGCAACGCCGCGUGCGGGAUGACGGCCUUCGGGUUGUAAACCGCUUUCGCCUGUGACGAAGCGUGAGUGACGGUAAUGGGUAAAGAAGCACCGGCUAACUACGUG